rnacentral:rRNA from 1 species
CAUAAUACAUGCAAGUCACACGGGCCACGCAAGUGGCUAGUGGCGAACGGGUGAGUAACACGUGGAUGAUCUACCCUUAGAUCGGGAUAACUAGCCGAAAGGUUAGCUAAUACCGGGUAUGACCACGUCCAGUAUCGUCUGGAUGGGGUAAGAGCUGGGGACCGCAAGGGCCUAGCGCUUAAGGAUGAGUCCGCGGCUGAUUAGCUAGUUGGCGGGGUAAUGGCCCACCAAGGCGAGAUCAGUAGCCGGCCUGAGAGGGUGACCGGCCACAACUGGGACUGAGACACGGCCCAGACUCCUACGGGAGGCAGCAGUAGGGAAUUUUCCACAAUGGGCGAAAGCCUGAUGGAGCAACGCCGCGUGAGGGGAUGAAGGUUUUCGGAUCGUAAACCUCUUUGGAGCGGGAAGAACGGCUUUUGGGUGAAUAAUCCAAAAGGCGUGACGGUACCGUAGAACAAGACACGGGUUAAUUCGUGCCAGCAGCGCGGUAAUACGAGGGUGUCAAAGUUGUCCGGAAUUAUUGGGCGUAAAGGGCGCGUAGGGGGCCAAGUAAGUCAGAUGUGAAA